AUCAGCUCCUGAGACCAGUGGUCAGCCACCUGUCUGAGUGCCAAGUCUAGGGCAGUUUGGUUACAUAAUCUCCCAAGGCAGCUUUUCAGGAAGCAUUCUAGAGAGAAGGGGGCUGGCCUGAAAGGGAAGAGGGUGUGCUGAGUGAGUCUGGAGCCUUCAGAAGAGAUGCCAGAAUUCCAAGCCAGAAGUUGCAGACUAGAAGGUUUGAUGACUUAAUGCUAUCAAGGAGACAGAACACACAACUCCCCCCCCCUUCCUGCUCCUCCUCCUCCCUCCAUUGUUUCCAGAUCCAGAGCUUAUCCUUCGAGGUGCAAAGCAGUUACUCUUGGAGCAGUAUGUUGUGGAGAAAAGGUAUCAAGAGCAUCAGUUAGGAAAGAUGAGCUUGAGUUCUUCAAGCCCGAGGGUGCCCGGGAAUGCAGAGACCAAGGAGGUGCCAAAGAGGCCCUAUUGCUUGCACAGAACCCACUCAUUCAAAUGGGAAGCCCCAGGUUUCUAUUCGCUUCAUUCAUUCUUUGGAGGUUUUCUUUCAUUUUAGAGAGUUGAUUUGUUUCUGUGCUGGCACAACUAGAAGGAAGGCAGCAGUAAGAAAAGCAACACAGUUUGGAAGUUUUGGGGGAUCUAGGGGCUCAGGAGAUAUGGUGAUUCCCAUCCCUUAGGGAGAAGGGUGAGAAGUAGGGAGAAUGGGGCACCCUGGGACAGCUGGAUAGAAAGGCAGAUAUUGUGCAGCAGGCCUACCCCCAUAUAUUUAGGGAAUCUUCCCACGAGCUCCAUCCUGGGUAUUAAGUACUCUACUAUGCCCGUCACAGUUGAAUUCCUGCUGUAAUAAAACACCGGGUAUAUGGUAGAUUUCAGCAAAACUAGGGAAAAAAGCCUGCAAAGUGCCAUUUUUCUUCAAGGGGGAGAGUGUUAAGUACUUAAUUCAAACUGUGACCAUUAAAGUGUCUCCUAUCCGACUUAGGCUGAUUUCAGAUGUUGACAAAACUUUUAUCUCCAGAGUCAUGCACAGCUUGGCUCUGAGACUAAAGCAGAUGAGUGUGUAUUAAAGAGAGGGAGGGAUAAAGAUGGAGAGAGCAGGAGAGCAUGUGUAAAGGUCAUCAUAACAGGAGAAAUACAGAGCUUACACAAAAUACUGUCUUUAAAGGUCAAGGGUUUGAGGGGUUAGUAAGGUUUACCUUAAAAAAAAAACUAAUGAGAUAGAAAAUUUGUCCUCUCAAUGAACUCUUAUGGUUGUCCUAGCAGAGGGCAGACAAUGCAUGAUUUUGAAGCACAAAGAGAGAUUUCUUAAGCUGUUAUUACAAGCUCCCUUAAAGGCAAAAUCUGAAACAGACAAAACAUUGUGAAGAAAUGACAUAAUCAGUUGGAUCACUUUUGAUAAUUUUGGUUUAUAAAGCUUACCAAUAUCUUACCAUUUUGAAAAAAUGCCGCUUUAUUCUAGAAUAUCACAAAAAUGGUCUCAACCCUCUCCUCCUAUUCUGGAUAGACUACAAGAGCAAGAGAAAGAAAUCACUCCCUUUAUUUUCAUACUACUGCCUCCAGCACGAAGCUAAUGAAUUUCCCUAUACCCUUCCUCCCCACAAAGGAGAAAUAUAAGAAUUUACCUUAAAUGAUGAUAAUCUGCCAUUUGAGGUUUUGCAGCUUGACACUCAAUUUCCACCAAGAGUCUAGGUAUUUUUUUAUUUUAGCAGAUAGCCAAGAUGCUAUGUCUUUGCCUGAGACAUUAUUUGCAAGAAGAUCUCUCUCUCCUUCACAGACUUUUCCCAGAGAAUGCCUUUCAGAAUUGCUGUUGAAUUACAAAGAAGUAUUUAUUGUAUGAGGUGAUUAAUGAUUCCUGGGAAAAUUGCUAUUUUCAGCAUGAUUUAAUUUCGUUUUACAAGUGCGUGUAUAGGGGGAGGGUUAAUAAGUUUCAGCAGCAGUUGCAUUGCCUCCAGAAAUGCCUGGCACCCAUUCACACCUUAUUAAAUGCAUUUUAUCCCAGGUUUUUCCUGAUUUGAG
rnacentral:lncRNA from 1 species